rnacentral:rRNA from 1 species
UGGUGGAGUGAUUUGUCUGGUUAAUUCCGUUAACGAACGAGACCUCGGCCUACUAAAUAGUUGGCGCUAUGCUUGCAUAGUAGCACACUUCUUAGAGGGACUAUCGGUUUCUAAGCCGAUGGAAGUUCGAGGCAAUAACA